UCAUGCUCAAGUCCAAGUGGCUGGAUAGGGCCCCCAACAAGUCUGGGGAUAAGAUCCCCCUCCUCUGCACCUUGUUUGAGAAGGAGGACUUCAUGGGAUUGGACACAGACAGCAGGUGCCCUCACCUCCAGUGACAUCCAUCCAGACACCAGCACUGACACUGGCCGUGCUCAGAACUGCCUCAGCCCUGAAGACACAACUGACAAAUAGAAGGGGGCCACGCCCUGUUACAGCAGGUGCUCUCACUUAGUGGGUCCUUAUGUAACUGUGCGGUGUUAAUCAGGAUCGCCCGUUCUACAUUACAUGACUCUGCUGCGGUGUCUCCUAGUUACUUGUUUCUGUAUGUACUCGUGUAUUUUC